CCUACGGGUGGCAGCAGUGAGGAAUAUUGGUCAAUGGACGCAAGUCUGAACCAGCCAUGCCGCGUGCAGGAAGACGGCUCUAUGAGUUGUAAACUGCUUUUGUACGAGGGUAAACGCAGAUACGCGUAUCUGUCUGAAAGUAACGUACGAAUAAGGAUCGGCUAACUCCGUGCCAGCAGCCGCGGUAAUACGGAGGAUUCAAGCGUUAUCCGGAUUUAUUGGGUUUAAAGGGUGCGUAGGCGGUCGGAUAAGUUAGAGGUGAAAUCCCGGGGCGCAACUUCGGAAUUGCCUUUGAUACUGGUAGGCUAGAGAGUAGUUGAGGUAGGCGGAAUGUAUGGGGUAGCGGUGAAAUGCUUAGAGAUCAUAAAGAAAACCGAUUGCGAAGGCAGCUUACCAAGCUACUUCUGACGUUGAGGCACGAAAGCGUGGGGAGCAAACAGGAUUAGAUACCCGUGUAGUC
rnacentral:rRNA from 1 species